rnacentral:rRNA from 1 species
AGAGCGGCGCACGGGUGAGUAACGCGUACGCAACUUACCCUUGAGCGGGGAAUAGCCCUGGGAAACUGGGAUUAAUGCCCCAUAGUUUUACUGAUAGGCAUCUUGAAGUAAAUAAAGUUGAGGCGCUCAAGGAUAGGCGUGCGUCUGAUUAGCUAGUUGGUAGGGUAACGGCUUACCAAGGCGACGAUCAGUAGGGGGCGUGAGAGCGUGAUCCCCCACACGGGUACUGAGACACGGACCCG